UACGUAGGGCGCAAGCGUUAUCCGGAAUUAUUGGGCGUAAAGAGCUCGUAGGCGGUUUGUCGCGUCUGCCGUGAAAGUCCGGGGCUCAACUCCGGAUCUGCGGUGGGUACGGGCAGACUAGAGUGAUGUAGGGGAGACUGGAAUUCCUGGUGUAGCGGUGAAAUGCGCAGAUAUCGGCAGGAACACCAAGGCCGAAGGGAGCCACCUGGGCAUCGCCUGACACUCAUGUGCGACAGCGUGGGGAGCGAACCGG
rnacentral:rRNA from 1 species